rnacentral:rRNA from 1 species
GCUGAUGCGUUGUUGGGUAGGGGAGCGUUCUGUAAGCCUGCGAAGGUGUGCUGUGAGGCAUGCUGGAGGUAUCAGAAGUGCGAAUGCUGACAUAAGUAACGAUAAAGCGGGUGAAAAGCCCGCUCGCCGGAAGACCAAGGGUUCCUGUCCAACGUUAAUCGGGGCAGGGUGAGUCGACCCCUAAGGCGAGGCCGAAAGGCGUAGUCGAUGGGAAACAGGUUAAUAUUCCUGUGCUUGGUGUUACUGCGAAGGGGGGACGGAGAAGGCUAUGUUGGCCGGGCGACGGUUGUCCCGGUUUAAGCGUGUAGGCUGGUUUUCCAGGCAAAUCCGGAAAAUCAAGGCUGAGGCGUGAUGACGAGGCACUACGGUGCUGAAGCAACAAAUGCCCUGCUUCCAGGAAAAGCCUCUAAGCAUCAGGUAACAUCAAAUCGUACCCCAAACCGACACAGGUGGUCAGGUAGAGAAUACCAAGGCGCUUGAGAGAACUCGGGUGAAGGAACUAGGCAAAAUGGUGCCGUAACUUCGGGAGAAGGCACGCUGAUAUGUAGGUGAAGUCCCUCGCGGAUGGAGCUGAAAUCAGUCGAAGAUACCAGCUGGCUGCAACUGUUUAUUAAAAACACAGCACUGUGCAAACACGAAAGUGGACGUAUACGGUGUGACGCCUGCCCGGUGCCGGAAGGUUAAUUGAUGGGGUCAGCGCAAGCGAAGCUCUUGAUCGAAGCCCCGGUAAACGGCGGCCGUAACUAUAACGGUCCUAAGGUAGCGAAAUUCCUUGUCGGGUAAGUUCCGACCUGCACGAAUGGCGUAAUGAUGGCCAGGCUGUCUCCACCCGAGACUCAGUGAAAUUGAACUCGCUGUGAAGAUGCAGUGUACCCGCGGCAAGACGGAAAGACCCCGUGAACCUUUACUAUAGCUUGACACUGAACAUUGAGCCUUGAUGUGUAGGAUAGGUGGGAGGCUUUGAAGUGUGGACGCCAGUCUGCAUGGAGCCGACCUUGAAAUACCACCCUUUAAUGUUU